GACGAACGCUGGCGGCGUGCUUAACACAUGCAAGUCGAACGGAAAGGCCCCUUUGGGGGUACUCGAGUGGCGAACGGGUGAGUAACACGUGAGUAACCUGCCCUUGACUUCGGGAUAACUUCAGGAAACUGGGGCUAAUACCGGAUAGGAAUCCUUGCUGCAUGGUGGGGGUUGGAAAGCUUCGGCGGUUUUGGAUGGACUCGCGGCUUAUCAGCUUGUUGGUGGGGUAGUGGCUUACCAAGGCUUUGUCGGGUAGCCGGCCUGAGAGGGCGACCGGCCACAUUGGGACUGAGAUACGGCCCAGACUCCUACGGGAGGCAGCAGUGGGGAAUAUUGCACAAUGGGCGGAAGCCUGAUGCAGCAACGCCGCGUGCGGGAUGACGGCCUUCGGGUUGUAAACCGCUUUCAGCAGGGGCGAAGCUUUUGUGACGGUACCUGCAGAAGAAGCACCGGCUAACUACGUG
rnacentral:rRNA from 1 species